UGUCCCCCUGACUGUCCCUGGAGGGAACAGAGAUCAGGGACGCAGGGACACCUGAGUGCUCCUGGGAUAUAAAGGAUAUAGAGUGGAAAGGGAGUAAUUUGGGGGGCUGGAUGGUGAUUCUGAGAGCUGGGAAGCAGCUAUGGGUUGGUGUGGCCUCGCCGGAAGAAGGAUCCCUGCAACCUGCUGUACUGAUGCCUGCAGUUUCCAGGUGGCCUCAAUAACAGUUUGGUCCCAUGUACCCUGGGUCAAACCCACAGCCUCCAGCUACGAUGGGCGCAUUAAGCAUCCCUGAUCUCUGCCUGCCCUCUCCACACCAGAGCUCAGAGCUCCCGCCUGGGAGAUGAUGGAUUUAUUGGGCCAUGUCCCUAACAAGGAAAGGUACAUCCAGUGAAGAGACAAAAAUACACCUGCUGUCGGCCAUGCUCGCAC